rnacentral:lncRNA from 1 species
GUCGUGGCCAGCAGGACCAGGGCAAUGACCGUCCCCUGUACUGGGGCACCUCCAAUCCCGGGGAUUAAAGAAGUGCAACAGUGUCCAAGGAUUCAAAGGCAAGGUGGGAAAAGAAAAAAAAGUUUUUUACCUCAUUGGCAGAGAAUUUAAGGUGUAACAGCCAGCGUGUCCCUCCAAGGCAGCACCUGAGUGGGUCAUGUCUGUGACAUUCUCUAAGGAAGAUGCCUCCUCUGGAUCACUUUCUUAGUGACCACAUUGAGCCAUCCUGGUAGAGCUGAGAGCCACCAUGCAGUCUGGAUCCUGAGUCCUGGGUUUAUUCUGGACUUGGUUGUGCUGGUUCCCUGUGGAGAACUCUGACCACCCUUCCAAGAUACUCUGUGACUGGUUUCUUUUCUCAGAGACUGAGUUAGAGGAAAUAUUUCACAGAGCAGUAGCUGGGCAAAUGCAAAUCCUCCUUGCAGAGUUCUCUUAACUUCAAGUCACUAAAUACACAUUUAGUCUAUGGAACUGUAUUUACUUCCCCUCUCAGAGGAACAAGCUUUGUCAGCUGUAAUGAUGAGCUGUUGUUUGACGUUCAUAAUAUUGUACUUCACUGCUUAUCUGAUGGAGCCCCGCACAGCUAUUUAGGGGGUUCUGAAAUGUGACAGCCCACAUGAUGCUUUUUUAGACUUCACAAACC